rnacentral:rRNA from 1 species
AUGGCGCCUCGCCCUGCAGCAGCAACCGGCAUCGCCAUGACCACCGUUGUAGCGCUGCUCGUGGUCGUCGUCGUGGCCUGCGUGACGACGGUCCAGGCCUUCGACGGGACGACGACGCUGGGCCUGCAGGGGCAGUGCGCGGCGGACGAGCAGGAACUGGUCGGCAGGAAGCCGAGCGCCAGGUACAUCAGCUACGCGGCGCUGCGGGCCGACGCGAUCCCGUGCGACAAGCGCGGGCAGUCCUACUACACCAACUGCGGGUCGAUGCAGCAGGCCAACCCCUACACGCGCGGCUGCUCCGCCAUCACGCGCUGCGCCCGCAACAUGAACUGA